AAGUGUGUCCUAAAUUGAGUUAUUUCUAGGAUCUCUUUCUAGUUCCCCAGUAAGCCAGGUUCUGAAGAAUAGGGGUUCAAAAAAAAUAGAGAAGAAAAGGAGGGAAAAGGCUGGAUUAAUGGGAACAGGGGUCAGGGGUGAGACCUGGGCUAAACAGUGAAGAUAAAAAGACAUGAAAACGAGCAAAAGGAAGAGAAAAUAAUGGUGAAAGUCAAUACAGUAAGGAAAGGGGUUGUGGGAGACAAAGGCAAGGGCAAGAACUCGGAAAAGGUGAAACAAAGGUGAGCAAGGAGGCUGAAGACAGGUCAGCUGCAGCGGGAAAGAGGAAAGGGCCCUUUAAGAGACACAUCAAGCCUCAGGUGUUGUCCGGAGGGCUGUCGCUGCACGUGACCCGUGCUCCUUGGGGAGCGUCUGGGGAGCUGCGGAGCCCUCCUCCUCCCCGCCGCGCCCGCAAACCAGCUCACGUGUCCCACCUGGGAAGGGCAGGGGCGUUUCCUUCCCGAUGAGACUUGAAGCUGUCACCUCUCAGUCUCGGUUUGGAAUAAAUACACUGGCCCACCCGAGGGGAGGCGGCGCCGUGCCUGGACACACCUGGGAGGUACCUGGUCGCACCUGGGAGAUACCUAGCCGCACCUGGAGGCACCUGGCCGCACCUGGAGGAUCCGAUCACUGUGACCGACUGGGAGGCCGACCCAGGAGUGCCCGGCGGGGUGGAGGGUCUGGAGACUGUAAUUGGGGGACUCAAGAGAGAAGUUCCGGCCCGAGGAGCAGCAAUGUCCACGGAAUCGGCCAUAAAGGAUCAAAGGGGCCAGAUAGGCCCCUAUUUCUGGCCACAUCUGAGACUUCUUCCGGCCCAUGGAUGUUACCCAGUGUACACAGCACUUAAUAUAAAGAGCAUCACUAAGGCCACCUCAAAUGAAGGUUUCUUUCCUCAGGCACCUUGGGUGACUUUCUUCUGUUACACCACGUCUCCUCACUGCCAAACUCCACCCCAACCCUGUUGAUUAAAAAUACACAAUUUACAGCUGCUUAAAGCAACUUUUUAGUUGGAACAGCUGAAAAUACAUUGCACAGUUCUAAAGUGAUGGAGCUGACAUUCCAAGCUUCCCAGAAAAACCGCUUCAUCGCCUCAGUUACAUGUCAACAGUGACAAUAAUGGUGCAGUCUUGUUUCAUUCCAAUAUCUAAGCAUGGAUUGAGUAUUCUUUCCAUGUACCCGCAGUUGUCAGCCUUCUUUGCAGCUCUUUGGGCCAGGUUCCCUGGAGCUGGGGGAAGGCAUGGGCAGUUGGUGUCUUCCCUGCUUCUGCUUCUGUCUGCCUCUUGGAAGCUUUGGAAGCCAAGGCUCUUGGGUUGGCUGGGUUGCUGGGUCCACCAAGCACUUUCUGAGCUCCAUUCUUUUUUUUUUUUUUCCCCUCCAAAGCACUUUAGUUUCAGAAAGGAAAGGACACCAAAAAUAGGCCUUUCCUGUGCAGAUGUCCAAUAACCUCGGUGUGGGGACCAAAUGCCCCCCAGCCAUUGGAAACACAGAUCUUGUAAGUUCUAUUCAUCGGGGCACUCACCCAUUCAUUCGUGUUUAUCGAGGGCCUGCUCGGUGUUGGGACAGUUGAGGAUGACAUUCCUGCCAUCAUGCUGAGCUCCAUUCCUAUAGACCUCUUCUUCCUUGUAGUUCUUUCUGUUUCCUCCUUGCUCAUAGGGUCUCCUGGCCCUUCCUUUACUCUUCUGUUUAUUUUAGCAACUCUGUAGUCUGCUUUCUAGAAUGACUACAUGAGGGAGUUCCUUUAUCUUCUUACAGCUUCAACCCCUGGCCUUGGCAACACUGGGCUUACCUGGAUGCUCCAGGGUCCAACCCUGUCACCACAUUACCUUGACCCACAGUGUCUAGCAGGUUCCAGGAAGCUGGCAUCCUCUGUUGGCAAGUCCCAGCUGGGUUCUGCUUACAAAUUAAGAUUCUUAAGAAGUUGAGUCUAUUUACUCUUCCAGAGACACAGCCUAAUUUCCACGUUAGUCUCAGUUUCUACUCAGGAUACUGCCACUCUGAAGGAAGGCUGUGGAGCUGGAAAUUUGAAUAAGACAAAAUGGUUGUCUUUAGAUGAUAGAGUGCCUUGUAGAUUCCCAGAGCUCGUCUCGACCUUAGACAUCCUCUAGUCCAGUGGCUCCCAAAGGAGAUGUGGAGGAUUAAUAGAGCUGAAACAUGACAGCGAGGGGAAACCAACAGUGUUUCCGAGCAUCUGUAACAUCCAGGGCAGGUAGACUAGGAAAAUGGUUCCAUGCCCAGCUGAUCAUCAGGGUCACAGGGGAGCUGGGUUGCCAAGUUUCUGCUCAUGUCUGCUUCCCUUCUCUGCUGAGGUUCUCUGAAAUGUUAAUUAUUUCUUUGAAUUCUUUGUCCACUUGUUCUUCUGAAAUGUUCUAUCCUCCCUACGACUUUCUUGGUGGUUUUCUCCUUCCUCUUCACUUACUCUGUUUCCUGAAAUGCUCUGCUUUUCCACCCACCAACUUGAGUCCCACACAAAUAGCAUAGGAUAGCAUAGAAAUCAUCAUCACUUUAUAUUUACCAUGUGUUUUCAUAUUUAUUCUCAUUCCUGCUAUCUCCUAAAGAAGAUACCACCCAGAUAAGUUCUCCCUCUCUCCCAUGCUCAAUUGGUACACAAUGGCACGUGUAGGAAUGUACACAUGUAAUAGGAUGUUUAAUACUAGUCUUUCGAGGUCUACCGUUUCCACCAAAUCCCUAAAGAUAGAGAACAGUGUAAUAGAUGUCACAUCCCCCAUAUACUAGAAGGUGUUGAACCACAUGCAAAACACCUCAGGAGCUUCAGAAACCAGUGUUGCUGCAAUUAGUACAUCACUCACCAUUGUCCCCUGGAAGGAGUUGACCACACCUUUACAGAGUGUUGAUGCUGAUAUGGCUUGGCUGUGUCCUCACCAAAUCUCAACCUGAAUUGUGUCUCCCAGAAUUCCCACAUGUUGUGGGAGGGACCCAGGAGGAGGUAAUUAAAUAAUGGGGCCUGGUUUUUCCUCUGCUAUUCUCAUGAUAGUAAACAAGUCUCAUGAGAUCUGAGGGGCUUAUUGGGGGGGGUCUCUGCUUUUGCUUCUUCCUCAUUUUCUCUUGCCACCACCAUGUAAAAAGUGCCUUUUACUUCCUGCCAUGAUUCUGAGGCCUCCUCAGCCACGUGGAACUAUAAGUCCAAUUAAACCUUUAUUUUUGUUA